UUGAAAAAUAACGCUAUUCAAAACGUUACGCGUUACGUUACGGGCAGAAACGUGAGCCACCACAUCCGCAUGUACUCUGACGAAAUAACACCGGCGAAAAUGUGCUCUUAUCACCAUUUCAUUACUUCGAAGGAAAAUUUGACUGACUUAUAAGUUGUUCCAAGUAAAAUUGCGAUCUUUUUGAAUAAUUGAAGCUGUUUUAAGGUUCAUCCACGUAUUAAAUUACUGUUCAUCGAUUUCUACAGUGCCAGCUGUAUUGAAACGAAAAAAUGGAAGCCCAACCGAAUAUUGUCCACCACGAGCACACUAUAUCGACGCAACGUAUUCGUCAGACGUGUCGUAUUAGAAAAAUCAACGGCGAAAUCUUCAGAAAAUGUUACGUUAGAAAUAACAACGGUAAUGAAACGCCGAAAUGGAUUCAGUUGUCCUACCUGGAGUGGUGGGAUAAUCUCACGGAAAAUACCAACCACUAUCAGGAGUAAUUAAUUAAUACGAUAACGACGGCGCAGAAAUUCCAGCGAAUCGACGUAUUUGCGGGUGAAUCAGCGCACCAGAUUGCGACAAU